UCCCUGGUGGCUUAGACGGUAAAUCGUCUGCUUGCAGUGCGGGAGACCUGGGUUUGAUCCCUGGUUUGGGAA
rnacentral:tRNA from 1 species